rnacentral:rRNA from 1 species
ACGACUCUCGGCAACGGAUAUCUCGGCUCUCGCAUCGAUGAAGAACGUAGCGAAAUGCGAUACUUGGUGUGAAUUGCAGAAUCCCGCGAACCAUCGAGUUUUUGAACGCAAGUUGCGCCCAAAGCCGUCAGGCCGAGGGCACGUCUGCCUGGGUGUCACGCAACAU